CGCAACCCCUGCUUUCAGUUGCCAACGGGUCAUGCCGGGAACUCUGGAAGGACUGCCCAGGAUAACGGGGAGGAAGGUGGGGAUGACGUCAAGUCAGCAUGGCCUUUAUGCCUGGGGCUACACACGUGCAACAAUGGCCGGUACAAAGGGCUGCAAACCCGUAAGGGGAAGCCAAUCCCAGAAAACCGGCCUCAGUUCAGAUUGAGGUCUGCAAUUCGACCUCAUGAAGGAGGAAUCGCUAGUAAUCGCGGAUCAGCACGCCGCGGUGAAUACGUUCCCGGGCCUUGUACACACCGCCCGUCACACCACGAAAGCCCGCUGUACCAGAAAUCGCCGGAGCUAACCCGUAAGGGAGGCAGGCGCUCAAGGUAUGGUUGGUAAUUGGGGUGAAGUCGUAACAAGGUAAAG
rnacentral:rRNA from 1 species